GUCCACGCCAUAAACGAUGACAACUGGAUGUCGGAGGGGUCUGCCCUUCGGUGUCGUAGCUAACGCGUUAAGUUGUCCGCCUGGGGAGUACGGCCGCAAGGUUGAAACUCAAAUGAAUUGACGGGGACCCGCACAAGCGGUGGAGCAUGUGGUUUAAUUCGAUGCAACGCGAAGAACCUUACCUGGUCUUGACAUGUCUGGAAUUCUGCAGAGAUGCGGAAGUGCCUUCGGGAACCAGAACACAGGUGCUGCAUGGCUGUCGU
rnacentral:rRNA from 1 species